AGUACGGCCGCAAGGUUAAAACUCAAAUGAAUUGACGGGGGCCCGCACAAGCGGUGGAGCAUGUGGUUUAAUUUGAUGCAAAGGGAAGAACCUUACCUGGUCUUGACAUCCACAGAACUUUGCAGAGAUGGUUUGGUGCCUUCGGGAACUGUGAGACAGGUGCUGCAUGGCUGUCGUCAGCUUGUGUUGUGAAAUGUUGGGUUAAGUCCCGCAACGAGCGCAACCCUUAUCCUUUGUUGCCAGCGGUUAGGCCGGGAACUCAAAGGAGACUGCCAGUGAUAAACUGGAGGAAGGUGGGGAUGACGUCAAGUCAUCAUGGCCCUUACGACCAGGGGUACACACGUGGUACAAUGGGGCAUACAAAGAGAAGGGACCUCGCGAGAGCAAGCGGACUUCAUAAAGUGCGUCGUAGUCCGGAUUGGAGUCUGCAACUCGACUCCAUGAAGUCGGAAUCGCUAGUAAUCGUAGAUCAGAAUGCUACGGUAAAUACGUUCCCGGCCCUGGUACACACCGCCCUUCACACCAUGGGAGUGGGU
rnacentral:rRNA from 1 species